AGAGGCUGCAGUGUCUCACCCCCAGUAAUUCUCUCUUCUUUACCUCAGGGGAUAGAAGACUGGAUCCUAUUAAGUUUCCUCUUCAUCCUGCAUUUCAUCAGGGCAAACGGCAGUUGGAGAAGAUUGUUCUAGAGAGAGAGAGAAGUAUGGACAUUUAGACCUCAACUGGAGGCAUUGAUUGGAAGGAUUUCUCCCAGAGUUGGCCCACUCGGAAACCAGAAAAGUAUCUCUGGAAACAUACACCAACCAGUGCCAAAUGCCUGGGAGUCAGGAACAGCUCUACCUGCCAAGUCUUUCAAGUUUGAUUCGCUGCCAUCCAAAGUGAAAAUUAGGGAGCUGGCUCUCCUGAACUUUGGACUGGUGACAGAAGAAGCUAAGUGGACCCUGAAUUAGAGGUUAGAGGAGCCCAAGUUCUCUGGAACUCACUAGUCACAGGACACUGGGCAAAUCACAGAAUAUCUUGGUCUCCUCCUCAGUGAAAUGGGACAAUUGGAAAGUUAUGGAGAUAAAACAAGGUAAUGGGAACACUCAG
rnacentral:lncRNA from 1 species